rnacentral:rRNA from 1 species
GCAACGCGAAGAACCUUACCUGGUCUUGACAUCCCGGAGACCCUUAGGAAACUAGGGGGUGCUUCCAUCUGGAAGAAUCUGGAGACAGGUGCUGCAUGGCUGUCGUCAGCUCGUGUCGUGAGAUGUUGGGUUAAGUCCCGCAACGAGCGCAACCCUUGCCUUUAGUUGCCAGCAGUUCGGCUGGGCACUCUAAAGGGACUGCCGGUGUUAAACCGGAGGAAGGUGGGGAUGACGUCAAGUCCUCAUGGCCUUUAUGACCAGGGCUACACACGUACUACAAUGGCCGAUACAAAGGGCAGCGACACUGCGAGGUGAAGCCAAUCCCGUAAAAUCGGUCUCAGUCCGGAUUGGAGUCUGCAACUCGACUCCAUGAAGUUGGAAUCGCUAGUAAUCGUGGAUCAGCAUGCCACGGUGAAUACGUUCCCGGGCCUU